CACAGGCAGAGAGAACUGUGGAGAGAGAGACUGUGAAAACACAGACAUGAAUAAAUUGCAUUCAAGGCCUGUACCAAAGUCUGGAAGAGAAGUGGAAUACACACGGACUUUGUGCACAGACAGGUGGCAGCAGGAGAGGGAAAAACAGAGUGGACAUUGCAUGACGACGUCAGCGUGUUUACAAGGGUACUCAGAGCAAACAGUCCAUCCUUUUGGACUCAGUGAUCCUUUAGGUUGAAGGGUAUUUUCAUAGGAUAGAAAUCUAGGUUGACAGUUGCUUCUUUUUCUUUCCGCACAUUUAGACCUUGCAUUUUGGUCGCCUGACCUCCAUGAUUCCUGAUGAGAAAUCAGCGGUAAUUUGUAUGAAAUUUCUUAUGUUCUAAUGUGUCUUUUUUCUGUGGUUACUUUUCAGUUUUUUAAGUUUCUUAUUUUUAAAAAUUUCAUUAAGCUGUGAGAGAUAUGCACUUACCCUACGUGGGAUUUAUUGAGCUUCUUGGAUAUGCGGUUUUGUAGUUUUCAUCAGAGGUGGAAACUUUUUGACAUUUUGAGUCACCAUUUUUUUUUUUUCCGUUUUCAGAGACUCUGAUUCCAAGUAUAUUUGACCCUUGACAUUAUCUCACUGGUCCCUUUUAGGAACUAUUCCAUUUUUUCAGCCUCGUUUCUCUCAUUUCCUCGAUAUUUGACAUUGCUCUGUCUUUAUAGAAAUUUUCAGUGAUUUUUUUUCUUCCUCAGUGUCUAAUUUUUGUCAGGCUUAUUGUGAAAUUUUCUUAAACAGUAAUUCCAUUUUUUAUCCUUGACAUUAUUCUCUUCACAAUUUUUUUUUAAGUAUAUGAACAUAUUUAAAGAACCUGGAUUGAAGUUCUUUUCUGAAAAUUAAUCUCCGUGGUUUGGGGUCUGCUUUUUUACUGAUUUUUCUCCUGUUGGCACGUCUUCCUCCUCUUUCAGAUGUCUGCUAAUGAUGUAUUGAUACUGAACAUUUUGAAUUUUGUGAUGUGAGGUCUCGGGGCUUUGGAAGUCUUCCUUUAAUGAAGGUGGAUGGAGUUGGUCUUCGCCGGCAGUUAUUUGAGUAUCAGGUUUGUCUUUAAAGCCUGUUAUGUAACUUCGUUAUGGGGACGGAGAACAGCCUUAAUUACCAAGAUGCAGAGACUCCUAAAGUCUCAGGAAUUCUCAGGGCGUUCAUUAAAGCUUUUCUAUUGUGGGUGUUAAGUACUCGAACGUCCCUUAGCCCCGUGUGGGUCUGAAAAUUAAUGCAUAGCUCGUGCCUGGCAGCCUUUGUCUGUACUCCUGGAGUUUCAUCCUGUGUGUCAGCUGCUUGGCCUUCAGCCAGACUCAAAGCUACCCUCAUGUGAAUUUCUUGAGCUCUCUCUCUCUUUCUCUCUCUCCCUCGUAGUUUGUCUUGCAGACUUCAGCCCUCGUGCUCUCACUGAAUGCAGAUCACUUUCCUCAACUUCAAAGAGUACUUUUUGCUCUAUUUGAGUACCUCCGUAAACAUCUCAGUCUCUGAAUAAGACUUAGAUUUUCUUCCUGCACUAAAGUCUUUGAAGAAGGCGGUGGACGUUGUAUGGCUCGUUUUGUCUGUCACUCUUCUGUUAAGAAUCACAGGUGUCGAUUUGACCCCUAGCCUGGGAACCUCCAUAUUCCACUGGUACGACUCUAAAAAAAAGCAAAUAAGUAAAUAAAUAAAUAAAUAAAUCACGGGUCUAGGUUGCCCAUUUUCAGGGUCUGAAAAAAGUUGUAUUAUAUAUUUUUCCAGUUUUCAAGUUGUUUAUGGCAAGAAUUGUGUUGUAUCAGUUAACCCAUCUUUUACACACACACACACACACACACACACACAAUAUACUUAUCAUAUGUGUAUAUCCUAUUAUCUUAUUGAAUGCUAUUGUUGCUAUUAUUGCUCAUAGAAUUACUCAUAGUUUUUCAAUUUUUCUAAGUGUUCAACAGAUUUUUUAUAAAUAUUGUUAUUUAUUAUCUUUGUAAAUAUUGUUAGUUUUAACAACCUUUUCCCAAUUGUUAUACUCUCAUUUAUUUUGUAGCCUAAUACUGUUUUAUAAUUUCAAUACAAAAAGUUGAUCGUUGGAGUCUUUGUCUUCUUUUCCUUGGCAUUAAGAAAAAUUAAGAACACUAAAAUGAGACUCUGUUUCAGUUUUAGACUUAUCUUUUGUGAAUGCUGUGUAUUUGUGUGAUUAUAUUCCUAAGUCUCUUCUUCUUAUAACUUUGUAUGGAAUUUGAACUUGAUAGAAUUCUGCUGUUAAUUUUCAUGAGAAAUCAAUUGUCUUGUAUUUUUUAGAAUGAGCCAGGAUUCAAGAAAACUUUCCUAACUUUAUUUAAUUUCAGUAAAUACACUGGUGGUAAUAUCAGCAUUAUUGUGUAAGAACAAUUUUUAAAAUGAAUAAUUAGUGGAUGUUCUUAUCAUUCCCUGUGUCCUUGAGAAGCAGAAUUUUUAGUGUGAAAUAAGGGAUAUAUGGAUGCAAUAGGAAGAGUUUAAUUAAAAUCUCCUUAGUCUUGAAGUGUGGUUGUAUCGGUAUACAUUUAGGAAGUUGUUACUGAGUUGGUUAUUGUUUUAAUCUUUCGUGUUCGAUAAAACGAGGAUAUAUUUUUUCCCUUCCUCUUUCCACAGUAAAGUCUUAUAUGCAGUGACUAAUGCUUUAGUAAUUAGAUCCAGAUUGUGGUCUUGAAAUGUCAGUUCUCACUAAAGGAAGCCUAGGUUUAGUGGUGACAUUGCUGAGAUCUGAGACAGGAAAUACACAAGCUGAGCCUGGCAAGUCUUGUCAUAUCAAUUAGAAAGUACACUAUCAAAGGCUAUUGGAGUCAAUUCAAAAUUAUUCAAAGGCCAACUCUGCUACUCUUCCACUAACCAAAAUGAGCCACUUGAAUUUCAAUAAUUUUAAUAAUUAGAAUGGAUUGAAUAGGUCAAAUUUAGUUACAUCUAUGGGUGCAUAGUGAUAUUUGAAAAUAAUUGUCUACCUUCAGAGGAUUAUAGAAAUUAACCCAUUAGGAGUUCCUUGGUAGCUCAAUGGGUUAGGGAUCCAGCAUUGUCACUGAUGUAGCCCGGGUCACUGCUAUGGCAUGGGUUUGAUCCCUAGCCAGGGAACUUCCGCAUGCCACUGUUGCAACCAAACACCAGACAAACAAACAACAACAAAAGAAGAUUUUAACCCAAUAAAAUGAAGACUGGUGAAUAAAGGGAAAAAUUAAACAGUUAUCCUGCCAUUCUUACUAACUCUGCCAUGGAUUAACCAUACAGUGGAUGAGAGGACAUAUGUCUUUAUUGAAGUAUUCUACUAAACAAAUAAAAGUGAAAUAAAGCAUCAAAAACUCAAGCUUUUAAACCAACAACAUGUGAUUAGAUACAGACGUUAAGCUUCCAUGGCAGCUAUGAGCAUAAAAAGAGAGACAGGCGGAUGUUAUAUGUUUCCUAUAGCCUUGCCAUGUGCUAUGUAUGGUUUUCCAAAGAGAUCAAAUCUGAGUUUGAUCCAGUCUCUGGACCCAGCUGCCUGGGGCCCUGCAGGAAUGAAAGAGGACAGAGGACAGAGAAACACAUCAAACUGCAUCAUGACGGUGCAAGAAGUGAGAUCCAGACUUGGGGGGAAAUUAGAGCCUGGUUCUUCAGCUGCCAAAUUGAAGGGAAAAGGAGAUUGAAAUAAAGGGGAAUGGAUCUGUCUCUGUGCAUUGAAUGAAAAAUAAAACUCUAUAAAGACAAAUAGCUCUUCUCAAACAAAGGACUAAUCAUCUAAUUAGUUCUACCUUAAAGUCUGAGUGUUUGAUGUUAUCUAGGAAAAUCCCAUGUUCUACUACCAAUCAAGUAGUCAAAAUCACGUCCUAUUUUACUAGUCAUUUUGAAGAUAAACCACAGGAGGAAAGGGAACUCUAAAAGAACUUACAUUCCAGAAAACUCACCAAGUCUCCCUCUCCGCAGUCCUCCCCAGACUACUCCCAAUCAGAGCAAUUUGGUUAUUUUUCCACAUAGCAAUGCAGUGUGAAUAGUGGCUCACAAUAGUUGCUCCAAAUUCUGAGGAUGCUAAUUUGAAAAUAAAAAUAUGACUGCUAUUACUUGUAAUAAUAAUAAAACAAAAAUAAACAGAAAAUAAAUUCGUUAACUACCGCAAAUGCAAGAUGGGGAAAGAGACUCACAUUCUUAAUGUUUCCACAAUGAAAAUAGUACAUCCGGUUUAUUAAGGAAACUCAUGAGCAGUAAAGCAGCCAAGAGCACAUAGUCUUCCACACCUGCACUGUUCCAGGGCAGACGUGCCCUGGACACUUCUGGGGAGAACGCAGUUUCCCCUCAGUCCCUCAGAAUAGUUAUAAGGGAAGGAGGAAGUACAGCAUCUGUGUAUCAGUGGACGUGUCUUUGUCCUUAUUGGAAGGGGAGAACCUCCAGAAUUGACUACUCUUCCACUAGUUAUCCCACCACUGCCAUGCUGAAUCAUUCCUAAGCUACAGAAGAAGAGGAAGUGACCACUGGGGCCAUCCAGAAUUUUCUCUGCGUAUUCCCUAGUGCCAUGCAAGAUACAAGGCCUCACUCAGCUUCGUGACAUGCCUCAAGCCCACCCUGUCAGCCUCUUUUCUCACCCCAUCCCUUCUGCCCUUUCAACCCCAGCAUUCCAUCCAGUCAUACAAUGGGUCAGGCUAUUUUCCCGCACCUCGUCUUUAUCAUGUCAGGGGAAAUAUUUAGAGACCUUGAAAUGGGGAAAAGGUUACUGAGGGUCCUGCCCAGAUCGCCCUUUGGAGUUCUCGUCCCUUCUCAUGGUCCUGGAGGUAUUUUACAGUUCUGUGAAUUGCUGAACGCUGAUAGUAACGCCCAUGCUUCUUGUUCACACAAACGCAGAUGAACUCAGUGGAGACGCGCUUGACCACUGCCCUCUGAGUAUGGAUGAACGCUGUAUCUGCUUGUAAAGUCAUUUUAGCCUUCCCGAUGGCCGAUAUGUGUGUGUGUGGAAUUCUUUUUUGAACCAACUAUACCAUCGCACUAACUCUCUCAUUAACUAGUCAGUUAAAAUCUUAGACAUGCAUUUAUUUUGUAUUUGGGUGAGUCAUGAUUUAAGAUAUCUGAGAUACC
rnacentral:lncRNA from 1 species